UCUAAAGUAACAAUGUCACCUCUUGUGUUGCUUCUCUGUGCCCUUGUCUUCUUCCCUAAUGAAAGUGUUGAAGAGAUUUCCUUGACCCAGAAACCAGCAACUAAAUUAAUAAAGCCAGGAGAAGAUAUUACUAUUAAUUGUAAAACAAGCAAAUCAGUAUACAGCUCUUAUUAUAAAGCAUAUUUGUUGUCCUGGUACCACCAGAGACCCAGUGAGGUUCCUAAACUCCUUAUUUACAAGGCAAGCAAUCUUCAAUCUGGGAUCCCGAAUCGUUUCAGUGGUAGUGGAUCAGAGACUGACUUCACUCUGACCAUCCGUGGAGUUCAACCUGAAGACGCAGGACAUUAUUACUGUCAGCAGGGAGAGGAGCUAUCUAACACAGUGAUAGAUCGUCAUACAAAAACCUGCCCUGCUCAGUGGCAUAGCUUCAGCCUGUCUUACUGCAGAUUUCAAGUUGCUGAAGUGAUACCAAAAGGCAACGCAAUUACAGAAAAAACAAUGCAGCCAUACCAUAAUAACAGAUUUUUUUUUUAAAAAUAGUAAAAAAUGAGACAAAUUCAAUCCAAAGAGCUGUGCUGCACUGUAUCAAGUAUAAAAUGAUGAGAGUGACAGCAAGAAGACUGAUUCUGCCUCUAAUUAAAUUCCAGUGAAAUAAGCCAAACAGAUUUUAUGAUAAGCUGUUUUCAUAUUUACUGUUCCUAGAAUUGCCACCUUAGUUUAUUGGGGGUGCUUGUGUGUUAUAUUAUACUUUGUUCUCUGGAUAUUUUGUCUGUACCCUUUAUAGGAUUACCUGUUAUUAACAGGUCUAAUGUGAAUGAGGAGACAAGAAAAAUCCCUAAAGACCCUCAUGAUAGUUCUGAUUAAACUAAAAGAACCUCACCCACCAUAGUCGCAUCCACUCCCACACCAGGCUUGGGAGUGGUAUUCACUGGUGAUCCCCUAUUGGAUGGAACACCCACAUAGUCUGAUCAGGCCCAAUCUGAACCACCAUUUCAGGUCAUCCCCCAAAAGGUGGACGAUGACAGUCAGGUACAAUGACAGUCAGGUGACAGGUGAGGGUGGUAUGGAUGCAGGAAGGCAAUCAGCUACUCAACCUGAA